ensembl:piRNA 21ur-2481 ncRNA
UUAAAGUUCUCUCGCAUUUCU